GUAGGUAGUGAUUUUUAUUUAUUUAUUUAUUAUUUAUUUAUUUUUUUUGAGAUGGAGUCUCACUCUGUCGCCUAGGGUGGAGUGCAGUGGCAUGAUCUCGGCUCACUGCAAGCUCUGCCUCUCAGGUUUAUGCCAUUCUCCUGCCUCAGCCUCCUGAGUAGCUGGAACUACAGGUGCCCGCCACCACGCCUGGCUAAUUUUUUAUAUUUUUUAGUAGAGACAGUGUUUCACCGUGUUAGUCAGGAUGGUCUCGAUCUUCUGACAUCGUGAUCCACCCGCCUCGGCCUCCCAAAGUGCUAGGAUUACAGGCGUGAGUCACUGCACUCAGCCAGGUUUUCAGGUGCUGGUUCCAUGGCUCUUCCUGAGCCGAAAAUAAGGAAACUCCAUAGACCUUGUCCACUGGAACUCGUUCCCAUCUACCCUCCACUCUAUCCAGGGUGAUGGAUCUCUGCAGUAAGUGGAAGAGUUCUUCAUGGCCCCCAAGGUUAUAUCCAUCUAGAACUUCAGCACGUAAUUUCAUCUGGAAAUAGUGCCUUUGCGGAUAUAAGUUAGGUAAAACUGAAGAUGAGAUCAUACUGGAUUAGGAUGGGAUCUAAAUCCAAUGAAAAUGUCUUCAUAAAAAACAGGAAAGAACCCAUAGAAACACAAGGAAGAAGGUCAUGUGAAGAUGGAGGCAGAGAUUGGAGGGAUGCAGCCACCGGCCCAGGAAUGCCAGCAGCCACCCAGAAGCUGGAAGGAAAUGAGGGAUUCUCUCCUAGAACCUUUAGAGAGAACAUGGUCCUGUGAACAGCUUGAUUUUGGACUUGCCCAUAGCUUGUAUACUCUUACUUUGGAUACAAUUUUAUCCAAACUUGGCUAAACAGUUUCUCAGCCUAUGGAAAAUUUAAAAUGGAGAAGAUUCAACUCGAUUCUUACAGAUUCAAAGCAAGAAAAUGAUGGGAACAUAGGAGGAGACCAAGAAAGCCUAUAAAAAGCAAAAAUAUGAAGUGAACAUUGUGGUAGCUUUAAGAUGUUUAGUGUAGCUGCAGGCACCCUAUACACAUGAAAACCCCCAAGGGGAAUCCCCAUAUCACAGUGUAGUGUGAUAUUUGACAUUCGUGAUCAUCUAGAGAUGUACAGAAAAGGUGAAUCUGUGUUCUGUAUAUUCUGCCUAAGGCAAAGAAAUGUUUAGCUCUCUUUAAAAUAGUUCCAUAAUUUUUUCUAAAAAGCUUUGCUUGAAAACUGUAAGCUUCCCAUAUCUGGAGCAUUUCACUUUAAAUAUUUGGAUAAAUAUGUUAUCUUCUUACUUGGACAUUUCAUGUGUUUAGGGAUUGUCUUCUAAAUUCUUCCUAAUUCAUAUAGCUGCUAACACUUCCCGCAGAGCUAAACCAUUACAGAUAUGAAAUAAAGACCUAUUGAUUUGACUUACUUUUACUUGUAAAACCUUCUGAGUGUUAUAACCUCAUUUAAUCUUUCAGCAUUUACAGUUUCAAGAGUUUGUGUCACAAUUAGAAGAAUUCAGCUGCACCUCCAAGUGACAGCAGUUGCUCUGGUUGGUGGGUGAUCUCAGGAGGCUUGAGAAUUGCUUUGUCUGUGAGGGAAGUAAGACAUUUUCAGAGCCCCACUUUAGAAGGUGUGAACUGGCUAGAUAAUGAACCCCAGGGCUAACGCUGCUAUAGCAGUGGGAAGGAGGUGAUGGGUUUUCAGUUUGGACCUCAAACAUCAAUACCCUCCUGGUACGGGGAGGAACAGAGUCCCUCCUUUACUUCUCCAUUAGAAAGAAUGAGAUGGCAAGACAAUGAAACAGGCAAAGUGAACAGAGAUGCAAGACAAAAUUCAGGUGAGAGAGCCAGAGCAUCACUCAGCCAUUCCUGACAUGUAAAACAGGCAACUAGAAAUUUGCAGAAAGGAAGCGAAGUCUCCAUAAAGAUGUUUUUAAAGUGAGCUUGAAGUAUUUGGAGACAAUUCAGUGUUACAUAAAAUCUGCAAAUCUCUGGAUAAAGAAGCAGAGAUCCCAGCAUGGGACAAAUGGAGCCUCAAAAGUGGGAAGAAGACAGAGAAGACCAGGGCAGAAUGCAUCUCUUCCUUUCUCUUGGCUUUCCUGGAUAAGGACUGCAUCAUUCCUGUGGAAGGACAGGCCAUCAGCUCCGAAACACUGUAUGUAUUUUCCAGUAUAUACUGCUAGCUGUGUGAUGUUGGGAAAAUUUGUUACCCUGUCUAACCCCCACUUCCCUCAUCUGUAAAAUGGAAAUAAUGAUAGUACCUACCUAUCUCAUAGGUGGCAACUACAAGGGGCAGCACACUCAGGGAAUUAAGGAAGUUUCAGUGAACAUCAACUUUAUGAACACAGUGUUCAUAAAGGCAGGUCAGUGCAGUGGUUUGGGAGCCAGGAGAAGCACGUGGGCCGGAGUGUGCCUGCAGGAGACAAGGUCAGAGAUGUUGCUAAUAAUGGAGAAUAAAGGAUGCAUUCUCAUUACUGACCUUGGAGUCGUUCAUUCAUUCCCAGAAUGUGUUUUGUCAGCUUACUAAAACACUAAGUUAAAUAAUCCCAGGUUUUGUUUAUU
rnacentral:lncRNA from 10 species